rnacentral:misc_RNA from 1 species
GCAGUGGUGUUAGGUCAGCUGCUGCAAGGUUCUUAGGUGGAAACGGUAGUAAAACACUUAGUUUUGUUGGAGGAAAUGGUGGAGGUAAGUCUAUCAGUGGCCUGAGUGGUAGGGUUGGAUCAUUUGGGGUGUCAAGUUCAAGUAGUUCUGUUGGUAAUUCAAAUUUUGAUGGCAAAGGAACCUAUUUAGUGUUCAAUGUUGGUGAUGCAAUUUUUAUCAGUGAUUUGAAUUCUCGAGAUAAGGACCCUAUAAAGUCUAUACAUUUCAGCAAUUCAAACCCCGUUUGCCAUGCAUUUGAUCCAGAUGCAAAGGAAGGACAUGACUUGCUCAUUG